AUUUGAUAAGGAGUAAUGUAUGUGGUUGUUAGUAGAAAAUUAACGAUGACACAAUACGAGCUUAGUCAUCUUGGAGAGAUACUUGAACCUAGGCACAUGAGAAAUACAUCAAAAGCUGUCUUUGUUGUUUCCAAUAUUCUAGAUUUUGCUGCUACAUACGUUUAAAAGUCGGGAUGACUAAUUAUUUUUCUACUGCAGAAUAAAAGCAUCACAAUGUACGGGUAGUUUGAUUGUUCUGUGCACCAGAUCAUAAAGAAUUAGAUAAACCACAUCGUGUGGGAAGAUGAUGAAAAAAACCCAACAAACGAAUAAAAAUUCUGCAAUCAAUCUCUCAAUACUCACAAUCAUCAACAGAGGACAAAGUGAUGCGUGCUGCAUACAAGAAACGUUUAGCGAUGAAAACUCUAAAUACAAAAGGUGGUCAGGUAAGGUAAAACCGGCUAAAACGGAUGAAGAAUGGAGGCAAUAGACGUUCACCUCAAGAACACUCUCACAGAUAUUGCGUAAUCUUGAGGUAAAUUCCCGCUUGUGAUACUCGCCAACGAUGCGAUACGACCGACGACGAGCACAGCAAAUCUACAGCCUAAUACAUGUGACCAGAGUAUAGCUAUGCAAACAUCAUGUAGAUAUGAAUAUGUAUAAGACGAGACAUCAUGAACAUCUAGUAAAAAUACAAUUAUUCUCUGAUAAUUCAAAUUGUCAUUGCUUGAAUCAUGAGCUUACUUUUUUGCAGCUUUAUCCUUUACAAAUUUGAUUAUGACAAAUCUUUUCAACAUAACAACAAGCAUCAUUUGCUCUUUUCCUCUGAAACGAAUACGCACAAUGAUUUUCACACCACGUGUGGUAAAAUGUCUGAUAGAAAUCCAAACGAAAUGAGGCGGUAGCGCGGUGACCUAAAAUCUAUGGAAAAUAUUAAAGAAUAAAGGAUGAAAGUUGGGUACGAUAUCUUCAUUGUUAAAAGAAAAAAUUGCCAUCAACUGAAAUUACACUAGCAUUUAUAAUGCGUCGAUGAUAAAAAUCAGGUUGAAAAACCAGUUUCGCAUGUUAUUAUGGAAAAAUCCGGCGCUUUAGGUGGAACGUAAGCGUUAUGUAUUCUUCGACCUUUUCAAGGAUGCAAAUAAAUAUCUAUUCACUGUUGGAGUUUUAUCGCUGCUUACAAAAUGAAUUAUUCGGCCGCGUUUGUAUAGUUCCGGAUUAUGAAAAGCCUAUACUUGAUGCUGCUGUUCAAGACGGAUCACUGAUCACUGAUCACCGAUUUGAAAAUCAAGAGUCGCGAGGACGGAACAUCGCACCGUAACCACGUGCUGACUCCCACGAACAAAACAUAUCACCGAUGACCCGGAGUACUCAAGCAAGCCUCAAACCGUGGUCUUUGAAUGGGGCAAACCAGCGGGCAUGGAAAGGUUAAUCCAAAUCAUUGAAGGAUCCCUAGAUCCAGAGAAAAAGAAUUGUAAAGGAUAUUGUACAUGAGAAACAUAGAAACUGUUUGAACCCUUUCAAGGAUACCACAAAACUAUGAACAUAACGACGUUAAGUUUUAAUGGAAAAUUUUAAAUAGGACUUGCCGUUGUUACCCACAACAUGGACACUUGAAAAAUGCACAAGUAAUUAUCCAUUGCAUAAUAUUACUACGAGAAACGAAUGCAACGAAUAUCAAAGGUCUUUGAAUUUCCAAUGGCAAUAUGUGAUCCGGCUAUUUGUUUACAAACAGUAAUAUAAGAACAUUGUUAUAUCACAAUGUCGCUGCUAGCUAGGCGAUAUGAGAUACCUGGAUUGAUGAAUCCAACGAAAUAGUGAGUCAACGAUGUUCAUCACUUCUAAGAGGAAAUAUUUUCUUUGUGUACAAGAACUAUAACUCAAUAUGUCGCUACCUUUUGCGCUAGAAGUAUUAAAAGAAUAAAUAAAUAACUAAGAACUAUUGAGACUUGCAAACAACUCGUUGAAGACAUUGAAACAAGGGCUGUUGAAGGUUAUUUUGUGAUUCUCAGUCCGAAUAUCACGUACUUCCUAUCCUAAGAAGACAGAAGUUUUUCAGCAUGGUUGAACUUUGAAGAGUAAUAGACCGAUAUCGUCGUGAAUUGAUUCCAAGUAAGACGAGAUGGUAACCCUAUGGAUGACAUCAAUGAUUCAAAAAGGAGACACCGUCACGCGCGAUGUUUUGCCAAGCAUGUAAGAUCGUUAUACUAUAACUUCCUAG